AUUGAACGCUGGCUGCAGGCCUAACACAUGCAAGUCGAGCGGAGCGGCGGACGGGUGAGUAAUGCCUAGGAAUCUGCCUGGUAUUGGGGGAUAACGUCCGUAAACUGUCGCUAAUACCGCAUACUCUCAGAUGAGCCUAGGUCGGAUUAGCUUGUUGGUGGGGUAAAGGCCUACCAAGGCGACGAUCCGUAACUGGUCUGAGAGGAUGAUCAGUCACACUGGAACUGAGACACGGUCCAGACUACUACGGGAGGCAGCAGUGGGGAAGAUUGGACAAUGGGAGAAAGCCUGAUCCAGCCAUGCCGAGUGGGUGAAGAAGGUCUUCGGAUUGUAAAGCACUUUAAGUUGGGAGGCGUUACCAACAGAAUAAGCACCGGCUAACUUCGUGCCAGCAGCCGCGGUAAUAC
rnacentral:rRNA from 1 species